rnacentral:rRNA from 1 species
UACGUAGGGUGCGAGCGUUAAUCGGAAUUACUGGGCGUAAAGCGUGCGCAGGCGGCGCGUUAAGACAGGUGUGAAAGCCCCGAGCUUAACCUGGGAAUUGCGCUUGUGACUGGCGUGCUGGAGUGUGGCAGAGGGAGGUGGAAUUCCACGUGUAGCAGUGAAAUGCGUAGAGAUGUGGAGGAACACCGAUGGCGAAGGCAGCCUCCUGGGCCAGCACUGACGCUCAUGCACGAAAGCGUGGGGAGCAAACAGG